CUCAGAUUUGAAUUUAACUCCUUAAAAAGUUUUUUUCCCCUUAUUAACUUCACAGUUAUUUAAACACUUGAACAAAGGCUUUGUUUUCAUUUGGACUUGCCCUGUUUACCAGUUUAUAAGUGCACUAUUCUCUAUAGGUGUGCACAGUU
rnacentral:lncRNA from 1 species